rnacentral:misc_RNA from 1 species
UCCGAGUUGACCCCGGCAGUCUCCUAUGAGUCCCCAGCACCCCCGCAUCUCUGCAGGGUUCCGGACAUGUCAAGGGCAGGUAAGGUUCUUCGCGUUGCAUCGAAUUAAACCACAUGCUCCACCGCUUGUGCGGGUCCCCGUCAAUUCCUUUGAGUUUUACCGUUGCCGGCGUACUCCCCAGGCGGAGAACUUAACGCGUUAGCUGCGACACCGAGAGGCAAACCCUCCCAACAUCUAGUUCUCAUCGUUUACGGCGUGGACUAC